GAGGGGGCGGAGCGCACGGCCCGCUCCCUCUCUCCUCCCCCGGGAGGCGGAGGAGACCCUAUCUCGGGCCGCCGCGCCUAGGCCCGUGGACAGCCUGCGGCAGGGGCAUGGCGGCCCCGAGCAGCGGCGUGCCUGCGAGGAGCCGUGCAUCUUCAUGCCUUCGUGAACACGUGUAGAGUUACCUUCACAGGCCGCCUAGGCCCUGGCCAAUUCGCCCUUCCUCUGCCCGUCCGCUCAGCCGGCUUCCCGCUAACCUUGACAAGCAUUUCUGCGCACGGUGCACGCUUCUUGCAUUUUUUUUUCCUUCUUUGAACUAAAACCGAAACAAACUCCUGUUUUCUCGAGUGGUUUCUGUAGCGGCGCUGAACCGGAACACCCCAGAUGUUUUCUCUCGGUGAGAGGGUGAGCUGGUAGUGAGCCCAUUUCUCACACGCGGAAACUGAGGCCUGCGGAGAGGCGGCCCCGGACAGAGAUGAGGAAAGUCAGGAAGAUGCCCAUGAGGCCCAGAAAGUUUGUGCUGAGAUUUGAAGAAGGAGAAGAAAAAGAAGGCGGAAUGCUUACCCUGGAAGGGGAACGGCAGCGACAGAGCAAGUCUCAGGAAGGGCCUGGUGUGUGUUAGAGCAGGUGCACAAGUACGUGGGCCUCUCACUGUUGUGGCCUCUCCCGUUGCGGAGCACAGGCUCCAGACGCAGGCUCAGCGGCCAUGGCUCACGGGCCCAGCUGCUCCACGGCAUGUGGGAUCUUCCCGGACCGGGGCACGAACCUGCGUCCCCUGCAUCGGCAGGCGGACUCUCAACUACUGCGCCACCAGGGAAGCCCGAUAACGAACAUUUAUUGAGAACAAGUCAUCACCAGAAAAUCUUCAGGAUACAAUACACAAAGAGAGGAGCUGCCAGUGCUGGAAGGACGGGUCCCAGAAGUCUCCACACUCAGAGGGGGAGGAGGGUGGUCCACCCUCUACACGUCUGCCCAGCCUGGCGCUGGCUUUGAAGCCCCAGAGCCCUGAGUCAGACAUGGCCAGCGUGGCUCUUUUGUCCCUCCAAUUCUCGCCAACUUGCCAUCACACAGAGAACUUAUGCUACCGAUUCCGGUGUUCUCUAACUUAGGUAAGUUUAUGCUUUUCUUUCUCCUCCUCUGCCUACAGCCUCCUCCAACCCAGGGAUUUGGUUGUAACCAAAAUCCUGAUCCAGCAGGUGAUGCCUCCACUCUCCUAAGACUCAGGGUAUUGAACCCCCUACACUUCCAUAGCACGUGAUAAUGUGCAAAGCACUCUCAUGUAGCGUUCUUUCAUCUAAAUCUUACACAGAUUAUCUGAGGUUGGUAGGACGUUUUCUCCACGAAGGAACUGUUGUUCAGAGGGACUGUGUGGCUUGCCCAAGUUCACUUAGCUGAUAAAUGACAGACACAAAGCUCAAAGCCAGAUCAUCUAACUCUCAGUCUACAGCUUUUCGAAUACACAUGCUCACCCUUUUGCCAUGUAUGUGACAUCCAAGUCAGCUUUCAACUUGGAAUACAGUGGAGGCUAAGAUCUAGCAAAUUUAUUCUCAAUUUUCAUUUCCAUCAGUAGAUAGAUUGAGGCUAUUCAGACAAAAGGAAUUAUGCACCACUUCAUCUACAUGGAUCCACUGGGAUAGCGUACAACACGGUGAGGGCAACGCCAGCUGUCCAGGGAGCAGGAAAAUAUGGUGGGAGAGGUGCCAGGGCUGGAGGCACACGUGUGAUGUGGAGGUCAGGGGAUGGGCUUGGGAACGGGCAGCAGGGAGAGGGGAGAAGGACGUCCGUGCACGGAGCGUCCACUGUGUGCCACGCUCACCCGUUAACCGCUCACGGGACUUGGGAAACACGCGCACACAGAUGCGGCAGGCCCCGCUGGUUCCCUCAGGACGUGGUAGCGGGGCGUGGUGGGCCGCCUCUGCUCCACCGGCGGGCAGCCAGGGACUGAGUGACUUCGCACACCGAGCUGACCGCGCGCACCGAGCUGGUCUCAGCCUCCUGCCCCCAGCUCACGUGCGCGGCUCUUUCCUCCCCCGGCAUGUGUUUCCUCUCCUCUCCGGCAGCUCCCCACCUCAUAGGAGCACAGUUUGGGGCAGCUUUACUGCAUCCGCUCACCGGGCAUCCUCGGCUGCAGCACCCCGGCGCAGGGAUCCGGGGCUGCGAAGGGGCUGCGGGCAAGGUGUGCUGCCACGGUGGAGAGAGCCGCCCCUUAGGAGGCAGGGGUAUGAGGGCAGCCAGGGCACUGAACGUGCUCCUGCAGAAGAGGAAGUUUUGCAGGCGCGCUGCCAGGAGAGGCACCGGACCGAGAGGAGGGCCGGGUCACCGCAGGCUCAGAAGCUGUGCUGAGGGCCUCAGGAAUUGUCCUAGAGGCGGUGGGAAUUACAGAGGAACUUGAAGGAGGUUCUCUCCCCGUGAGCAUACACCGAGGAAGGGUCGUAUGUGGACACGGAGGAAGGGGACUGCCGGCCAGCCAGGAGGUGGGUUCUCACCAGGAACUGACCGUGAUUGCACCCUGGUCUCGGACUUGCAGCCUCCAGAACGGGGAGAAUCCGAUUCCUGUUACUUAAGCCCCUAGUCUCCGGCACUGUGUCAUGGCAGCCCACCUGGCGGAGACGCACACAGCCCCUGUGCCUGUUGGCUCUGGAAAUCCAGGGCGAGCACAGAAUCCUCACCCCCAUGGAGCUUGCAGUCUAGUGGUGGGGAGAGGGAGGCAUGAAAUGAACGCUCCUCGCAGACAUAUGUAGUUACUCUUAUGGAAGAGAGUAACAGGGCCUCAUUUAGACUAUGGAAGACAGGGGAGGACUUCUGAGGACGCGACCUCCAACCUUCAACGUGAAGGAUGAGUGGAGGGAGCCUGGCGUGAGCCGAGGAAAGGGCAUCACAGGCUCGGGGAGGGUGCGUGUGAGGCCCCCGGGUGAGAAAGGGCUUGGAGAGAAACUGACAAGACACAGUGUCCCCAGAGCAGGGAGGGACAUGAAAUCAGACUGGGAGCUCCUGGGGGCAGGUCGCUUGGGGACUGGCAGGUCUUGCUGAGAGGGUUACAUUUAUGUGCUCAUUAAAGGGUUUAAGUGGAGAAGUGAAAUGAUCCAAUGUUCAGGUUUAAAAGAGAACUCUGAAUAAUGUGAGAAUCAGAUGGGAGGGGUGGGACAUGCUGUCUGUUCCGUCCCGGGUUGGGGGUCCCGAGCAGCUGGCGGACUAGAGUGAAGUGGUUCACGUGGAGGCCAGUGCAUAGGAUGGGUGGCGGGGAGGGGAACAGGCACAACAGCUGGGAGAGGGUGAGUUUGAGGCCACUGAGUCUGGCGGGGAGCUGGAAGCAUAUGGGCCUGUGGUUCAGGAGACAGAGCCAGCCUGCGCGGAAAGGAGGGAACACAGCAGGCCCGAGGCCGCCGUCCUUAGAGACACGUGAUGGCACGGCUGGCCCUCGGCUGGUGUCUGGGACCUCGGCUCUCAGGGUGCCCCCGUCACCAGUGAACCGACAAGGCUGGUUUUCCGCGCCUAGACUGUCUGCGCAGACCCUGUGGUUUAUGGUGGACGCCGGCUUUCCUUCCGGGAGUUUGGCGUGUUGCUGUGUGCCAGGCGGAGGGCGUCCACAUGCGCAGCCCCCGGAUACAGCCCUGAGCUCUGAGUCUCUCCUGGGCGUCCCUGGGCUGAAACCUCACACGCGCGUGGCUGCAUUUUCAUUGCUGGGGAAGAGCGAGCUCCGUGCAGCCCCCGUGGGAGGCGGAGAGCACGGAAGCCUCACACGGAUUCUCUGGACCCGCCCGUGUCUCUGUCGCUUAUGAUUCGGCCGGUAUCCUCAGCACGUCUCCAAUAAAUCUCAGCCAUGAGCACAAGUCGCCCCGAGUCUCGGGAGUUCUAGCGAAUCUCAGAAUGAUGGGGUGGUCUUGGGGACCCCUGACAGUCUCAGGAUUUAAAUUUGGGAGUGAUCAGCAUGUAGGAAAAAACUGUAACCACGUGACCGUACGAGAUUUCCGCCCCCCGCCCCCCGCCCCCCACCCCAGGAAGAGUGAGUAGGACCCUGAGGAUCUCCGCAAGUUAGGAGUGAGCGGGGGACAGGAGCCACGAAGGAGGUGAGGACUCAGGCAGCCGGAGAGAGGAAUGUCUGCAGACUUAGCAAGGUCACUGACGGCCUUGGCCAGCAGUCCUGUGGGCAGUGGUGGGGAGAGCUGGCUUGUUAGGGGGUGAGGAGGGUGGAAGGAACAGAGAGGGAUGUGGGGAGGUGUAAACAUAUUGUUUGUAAGACAGAAAAACAACUUGAUCACUUGUUUUCUCAUGUAUUAAGUGUCUGCUGCAUGACAGGCUCUAGGCCAGACGUGAGUGAUGCAGUGAGCACAGGGUGUGGUCCAGACCUCACGGAGUCUGUGGUCCAGCUGAGUGUUUGAAAAGCAAAGUGCACAAGGCCGUGCGGGUGUUGCAUCUAGCCCGAGGGCUUCUUUGACUAAGUGACCCUGAAUCUGGGAAUUGAUGAAUAACUAGGAAUGUGUUGAAGUCCGGGGAGUAGAAAAAGGGAAAAAGGUCAUUUCAGGCAGAGGGAAGAAUGUAUAUGGGCUGAGGACCUAGAGAAGGUGGAGGGCUCUGGCUUCUAGAAGGGAUUGAUUCUGACCGGCGGAAAUACCUCAACAUGUAACAGAAAAAGGAAAAGAGGGUAGGUUUUAAAAGAAUAGAUAGAGCUACAGGUAAGGCUUAGGACGGGCGGUAAGACACCGAGCUUUCUUGUAUGAUGACUUUCA